rnacentral:rRNA from 1 species
UACAGAGGGGGCGAGCGUUGUUCGGAAUUACUGGGCGUAAAGGGCGCGUAGGUGGCCUGUUAAGUCGAACGUGAAAUCCCCGGGCUCAACCCGGGAACUGCGUCCGAGACUGGCAGGCUCGAAUCCGGGAGAGGGAUGUGGAAUUCCAGGUGUAGCGGUGAAAUGCGUAGAGAUGUGGAGGAACACCAAUGGCGAAGGCAGCCCCCUGGGUCGAUACUGACGCUCAUGCACGAAAGCGUGGGGAGCAAACAGG